AAAAGGUUUUCUCCCCACCCUUUUACACGAUGUCGUUUCAUUAGCAGGUCAUUUAAGACCUUCCCCUUCCUAAAUCCAUUUUCUAAACGCAGCCCUCACUUCACCAAAAUUCACAGCCCUAAAAAUCAAUUUGUUUGGGCAUAUUUCAGCAGCCACCGAGUACACCACUUCAUCAGGUGGUCGAUGGCACUCCAGCGACGAUCGAUGGCCCAGCGACGAUCGAUGAUGCCUUUGGGCCCUUCCAACUUCGACUUUCAGCGAAGAGGAUAAAAAUCCAUGGCUGAUUUGCAAGGUUCGAUUGUACGGAAGAGAACGCUUGUGGAUGAGGCUCGGAGACUGCGGAAUUGCUCAUGCGAGCCCGAUCCCCUGGCGUUGUUCUGGCACGUUCCAGAAGCUUCUGGCUUGUGUAAGCUUGGUAACUUAAGGUUUCAUGAAUAUUUUUCUGUUUUGGGUCAGGAUUUGGGCUAGGGGUUUAUUUUAUUGUGGGCUAAAUUAUUGGACUUGUAACAGGGACAUUGGACCUAAUUAUUUUUGUUUUAUUUUGGUUUUGGUUCUAGUGUAAGCCCGGGCAAAAAUGGGCCAUUACAGCCUUCAAAGACACUCAAACAA